AUACGGGGGGGACUAGCGUUGUUCGGAUUUACUGGGCGUAAAGGGCGCGUAGGCGGACUUUCAAGUCGGGUGUGAAAACCUUGAGCUCAACUCAGGGCUUGCAUUCGACACUGUUGGUCUUGAGUACAGGAGAGGAAAGUGGAAUUCCAGGUGUAGCGGUGAAAUGCGUAGAUAUCUGGAAGAACACCAGUAGCGAAGGCGGCUUUCUGGACUGAUACUGACGCUAAAGCGCGAAGGCUUGGGGAGCAAACAGGAUUAGAUACCCUGGUAGUCCAAGCGGUAAACGAUGGGUACUAGGUGUCGGGGGUAUCGACCCCCCCGGUGCCGAAGCUAACGCAUUAAGUACCCCGCCUGGGGAGUACGGUCGCAAGAUUGAA
rnacentral:rRNA from 1 species